rnacentral:rRNA from 1 species
UAAUACGGGGGGAGCAAGCGUUGUUCGGAUUUACUGGGCGUAAAGGGCGCGUAGGCGGCGUAACAAGUCACUUGUGAAAUCUCCGGGCUUAACCCGGAGCGGCCAAGUGAUACUGUUGUGCUAGAGUGCGGAAGGGGCUACUGGAAUUCUCGGUGUAGCGGUGAAAUGCGUAGAUAUCGAGAGGAACACCUGCGGCGAAGGCGGGUAGCUGGGCCGACACUGACGCUGAGGCGCGAAAGCCAGGGGAGCGAACGGGAUUAGAUACCCCGGUAGUCCUGGCCUUAAACGAUGGAUACUUGGUGUCCGGGGUUACAUAGUCCCCGGGUGCCGGCGCUAACGCAUUAAGUAUCCCGCCUGGGGAGUACGGUCGCAAGACU